ACUUUGGCCACCUCAUGUGAAGAGUUGACUCAUUGGAAAAGACCCUGAUGCUGGGAGGGAUUGGGGGCAGGCGGAGAAGGGGACGACGGAGGAUGAGAUGGCUGGAUGGCAUCACCAACUCGAUGGACAGACGUAAAUGGGUAAAUAGACGGGGGAACUUACACAUCUGACACAAGGCCCUGGAGUGACACCCUACCGUGUGCAACAGACAGAGGAAUAUUGGCAGAAGUAAACAAGAAGGCCUGAGGAAAUUUGCAUACUUCAUUAUGCGAAUUUGAGCUGAAGCCCAGCUCCUCUCACGUUGGCAGUAGAGGAACAUGUCCUGCUUGCAAGAUCAGGUGAGGUCUGUAAAGGUGCAUUUUGCCCUUGGAGAUUUCCUCAUCUCCAGCGCUUGCUACCAUGGCAGCCUCAGGGGAGUGUGGCUUCCUCUUUGCUUUUCACAUCUGCAUUCCUGCAAUGUAACUCCCAUCCCAGAAUAUGGGAUCUGGGUUAGCUCAGACUCUGCAGGCUAGGGGCACAGUCUCCGAUGAGACUGCCUUUGUACCACAAGCAAGCCACAGAUUUGCAUUGGGAUGGGGGUGGAGGCGGUCCUCAAGCCACCCAGAUUUCUGAAUAACCAGCUAGGUAUUUGGGGGAUCCCAUUACCCGCUCAGGUUGAUAAUUCACUAGAGUGACUCAGAACUCAGGCAAGUACUAGACUUAACGAUUUCAAUUUUAUUAUAAAGGAUACAAAUCAGGCGGCAUUAGUGGUAAAGAACCUGCCUGCCAAUGUAGGAGACAUAUAAGAGAUGCAGGUUCAAUUCCUGGGUUUGGAAUAUUCCUUGGAGGAGGGCAUGGCAACCCACUCCAGUAUUCUUGCCUGGAGAAUCCCAUGGACAGAGGAGCCUGACCGGCUACAGUCCAUGGGGUUGCAAAGAGUUAGACAGGACUGAAGUGACUUAGCGUGCACACACACAAAAAUCAGGACCAGCCAACUGAAAAGGCACAUAGGGAAAAGUCCAGGAGGGUCCCACACUAGGAGCUCCUGUUUCCUUUCCAGAGUACAUCGCCCACCCAGCACAUGUAUGUGUUCACUAGACAGGACUUCACUCGAGCCUCAGUGUCCUGAGUUUUUCUUGGGGUUUCAUUACACAGGCUUGAUAAAUGGAAUCACAAGCCACAUAAUUAACUCAAUCUUUCAGCCCCCCCAACCCCUCUGAACCAAUAUCACCUGACUCAAGCCCCAGCUCUGUAAUCACACAGUUGGUCUCUCUGGCUUGGCCAGAAGCUGAAGCUCUUGGCCAGCCUGAAGCUCUAUAGGGCCAAUCAGAAGUCACCUCAUCAGCAUGAACUCAGGUGUGGCCCCAGUGCCCCCUGCAAAUAACAAAGAUACUCCAAUCAGUCAGGAAAUGCCAAGAGUUUAGAAACAGCAUUCCAGGAGUCCAGGACAAAGACCAGAUAAAUUAUUAUACAAUGAUAUCCUAUAACAUGGUUGUCACAGGCUGAAACAUUUACUUUGGGCCUGACUAAAGGCGAGCAGUGGGAUGGUUAGGAUUUUCCUUGGGUCCCUACCUACCAUGAUUUCAGUGACGACAUAGAGUGCUAUGCAUGGUUUGGGGAGGAUAUUCUGAGGCCACAUCCAGGAUCAACUGGAAGGAGUGAUACGAUUAAGUGGUAUGAUUCCACACAAGUCGUGUGGAAUUCCCAGGUGGCUCAGUGGUAAAGAUCCUCCUGCCAGUGCAGGAGAUGCAGGAGACCCGGGUUUGAUCCCUGCAUCGUGGAAGAUCCUCUGGAGGAGGAAAUGGCAACCCACUCCAGUAUUCUUGCCUGGGAAAUCCCACGGACAGAGGAGCCUGGCAGGCUAUGGUCCAUGGGGUCACAAAGAGUCAACUUAGUGACUGAGCACGCAUGCAUGCAUGCCAACUUUGGCAUAGAAGAGGAUUGAAAGGGGAAGGCGAGAUCAUACAGGUACUUGCUAGGGAUAAAGGGAUAAAAAUUUUAAAAGGGAAUAGUGAAACUGAAGUCGCUCAGUCGUGUCCAACUCUUUGCAACCCAAAAGCCCCAAUAGGGAAUAACCUCAGAGUAAUAAAAAUGAUAAUACUGUUUGCAAAGACUGCUUGUUAGAACACACAAAUCCAAUCCCACUUUGGCUCCCAUCCUAAGGCCAAGUAGCGGGUACCAUGUUUAACUUGUACCACCCAGGAGGUCAUAUCUUUUAAUUUCUCCUCCUUAAAAUCUAGCCUUAUGAGAGAGAGACUCAGAGAGAGAUGGAAGUGCCUCUCCUUCCCACCAGAUUCUGGUUUCCAAGUUAAGGAAUCACUUCUACACCCAAACAGCUCUCCUAGUGGAUGUGAGUCCUCUUAAGGAAUAUCAUAUCAACCUACUCUGGGCUGAUAUGCACUAGUUGCCAUACAAAUUGUUAAGUGAAUCAAACACUUCAUAGUACUAGUACUAAAUCACUUCAGUUCUGUCCGACUCCUUGUGACUCUAUGGACCAUAGCCCUCUAGGCUCCUAUGUCCAUGGGAUUCUCCAGUCAAGAAUACCAGAUUGGGUUGCCAUUUCCUCCUCCAUGGGAUCUUCCCGACCCUGGGAUCAAACCUGUGUCUCUUACAUCCAUCUACUGCACUGGCAAGUGGGUUCUUUACCAUUAGCACCAUCUGGGAAAAGCCCCAAACAUUUCUUACAGGUUGGUUAAAAAAUUGCUGCUUCCUAUUUCUAGAAUGUGCUUCUACUAUUAUUUUAUAGCCCUUCCACUAGACCAGGAAGGCUACCUACAAUAAUUUCCAGAGCCCUGUGCAAAGUAAAAAUGCAAGGCUCCUUGUUUAAAAAUUAUUGAAGGUUUGAAGACAGAGUCACCUGAGUAUUAAAGCAAGCAUAGGACUCUUCUGAGCACACGCCAGUCUAUGAGGCUGCACAAGUCACAUGACCACGAAACCAGCCCUGUCUGGGACCCCUCCACACUGCCUCACAAUCUCAGGAAAGAACUGAUCCUGGCACAUCUGGCACCUCCAGGAUCUUGUCCAGCUCCACAGCCAGCAUCCUUCUGAUGAACUGUAGUUGGCAGAAUACGUCUCCUGCCUCCCGCCUUGCCACCAAUGCAGGAGGAGCAGGGAGUGUGAGCAAGAAAUAAAUCUGUUUUAAGAUACUGAUGGAAGGUUGAUUGUUACUACAACAUAAAAUGGUGCAUCUUUUUUUUUUUUAAUUCUGGCUGUGCUGGGUCUUCAUUGCUGCACAGGCUUUUCCUAGUUGUGGAGAGGGAGGCUACUCUCUAGUUGCAGUGCGUGGGCUUCUCAUUAGGGCAUCUCCUCUUGUGGAGCAUGGGCCCCAGGGUGUGUGGGCUUCUGUAGUUGCAGACAUGAGCUCAGUAGUUACUGUUCUGUAGAGCAAGGGCUCAGUAGUUGUGGAGCAGGGGCUCAGUUGCCCCAAGGCAUGUGGGAUCUUCCUCGACCAGGGAUCGAAACGGCGUCCCAUGUAUUGCAAGAUGAAUUCUUAACCACUGGACCACCAGGGAAGCCCGCAACCUGGUGCAUCCUGACAAAUACAUACCAAUGCUGGAUGUUCAGUCUAAUCAUGUCCAACUCUUUGCAACCAUAUGGACUGUGGCUCACCAGGCUCCUCUGUGAAAUUCCCAACUCAGGGAUCAAACCUGAGUUUCAUGUGUUUCCUGCAUUGGCAGGCAGAUUCUGUACCACUGAGCCACCUGGGAAGACCAAUAUGUAUCGAUAUUCUAUAAAGUCUUACAUAUUUUGACAGUCAUCCUGCCCAUGUGGGUGUCUCCUUGAUGCCCAAACAGGACAAGCCUGCUUGUUUUCCUUGAAGGAACAUGACUUGACUCUAUUAUCAGAAACUCCAAAUUACACAGGGCACAACUAUAUCACCCAAUGCUAUUUUUAGCAUGUGAACUUUUCCAGAAAACCAAGGCAGGUGCUUUGUAUCAAUGUUCUGACAAAAGAGUAAAAUGUACAUUUAUAAACUCAUCA
ensembl:lncRNA